rnacentral:rRNA from 1 species
AGAGCGAACGCUGGCGGCAGGCUUAACACAUGCAAGUCGAGCGGGCGUAGCAAUACGUCAGCGGCAGACGGGUGAGUAACGCGUGGGAACAUACCUUUUGGUUCGGAACAACACAGGGAAACUUGUUCUAAUACCGGAUAAGCCCUUACGGGGGAAAGAUUUAUCGCCGAAAGAUUGGCCCGCGUCUGAUUAGCUAGUUGGUGAGGUAACGGCUCACCAAGGCGACGAUCAGUAGCUGGUCUGAGAGGAUGAUCAGCCACAUUGGGACUGAGACACGGCCCAAACUCCUACGGGAGGCAGCAGUGGGGAAUAUUGGACAAUGGGCGCAGGCCUGAUCCAGCCAUGCCGCGUGAGUGAUGAAGGCCCUAGGGUUGUAAAGCUCUUUUGUGCGGGAAGAUAAUGACGGUACCGCAAGAAUAAGCCCGGCUAACUUCGCGCCAGCAGCCGC